rnacentral:rRNA from 1 species
GCCUACGGGGGGCAGCAGUGGGGAAUAUUGCACAAUGGGGGAAACCCUGAUGCAGCGACGCCGCGUGAAGGAAGAAGUAUUUCGGUAUGUAAACUUCUAUCAGCAGGGAAGAAAAUGACGGUACCUGACUAAGAAGCCCCGGCUAACUACGUGCCAGCAGCCGCGGCAAUACGUAGGGGGCAAGCGUUAUCCGGAUUUACUGGGUGUAAAGGGAGCGUAGGCGGUGCAGCAAGUCAGAAGUGAAAGCCCGGGGCUCUACUCCGGGCCUGCUUUUGAAACUGUUGGACUAGAUUGCAGGAGAGGUA